CUACGUUUCUAUUAUUGGAUGUGUUCAUUGCACUGGAAGAAGCAUGUCUUACGCUUCUUUGCAUCUUGAUGUAGGAACAGCUCUAUCUUUUCCAAGCUGGAUUUCUUAUGGCCUUAGGUGUCCUGUAUCUCUGGUUUUCUAGCCGGAGGCACCAGAACUAUUUUUAGAUUCAACUAAUCAGAUCCAAAAUUUGCCUCAAGAGUUUCAACGUCUAAGGAAAUUGAACCACUUGUGAGCAUUGUCAAGCAAAUGUCAGAGAAAGCAAGUGAUAUACAGCCGAUAAGCUGCAGCUUUAAGUCUCGGAUUUCAACACAGUAAAUUGUUAUCUUCAGACUAUCAGAUGGGUGAAUGAAGAUUCUCUAAUAAUCUAAUUCAUCACUAUCCUUGUAUAGUGAUAGAUAGGGAGAUUUGAUGUCUUUUACUUUAUGCAGCCAUACAUGAAAUGCCUUUAAGGUUAAGAGAUACCGUAGAUGGAUACUAAUGUUCUCAGGAAAAUAAUGCAUGCCUUGACCACUCAGAUACCAUCUUUGCAGCCUCGCCUCCCAGUUUCACUUCUAUGCUAUGAAACUAGGUAAAUGCUAUGACAAAUAUAGAACAAAAUAUCUUCCAAAUGAUUAUAUUGGCAAAUUUCUUUCAUCAAGAGAUCAAACUGCAAUUCAUCUGCUGCCUAGGAUAAUGAUAUAAAAUCCUAUUAUUUGGGAUUUAUAGGGAGAAGAGGAAUGGCUGAGUGUUUCGUGGUAUGAAAAGGAAUAAUAGUGAGGUUUGGUUUUUAGUUAGAUUUCAUGCAUCCCUCUAGAUUUCGAUUUCAAAGACCUUUUUGUAACUUUUCCAUUGGGUUUUAGAGUGUUUUGGAGAGCUGUUACCAUACUCAUUUCAUUAUAUGAUGUUCGAAUGCAAUAUCUUUCUAUA